rnacentral:rRNA from 1 species
GAUGAACGCUGGCGGCGCGCCUAACACAUGCAAGUCGAACGAGUGGCGAACGGGUGAGUAACACGUGACCAACCCGCCCCCCCCACCGGGACAACCUCGGGAAACCGAGGCUAAUACCGGAUAGGAGGGGACGGGGUGGCGGCCCAUCAGGUAGACGGCGGGGGGAAGGCCCGCCGUGCGGACGACGGGGAGCCGGGCUGAGAGGCCGAUCGGCCACAUGGGGAGUGGGGCACGGCCCGGACUCCUCCGGGAGGGAGCAGUGGGGGAUAAUGCGCAGUGGGGGAAACCCUGACGCAGCGACGCCGCGUGCGGGAAGGAGGCCUUCGGGUCGUAACCCGCUUUCAGCAGGGAAGCGGUACCUGCAGAAGAAGCCCCGGCUAACUACGUGCCAGCAGCCGCGGUAAUUC